ensembl:lncRNA novel transcript
GGAGGAGCCUGGCCCCUCCUCUUCCUGUGUGGAAGCUGGGAUUCCAAUGGCAGGCAGGAAAUCUUGUAGUAGGUGAUCGUGGCCUUCCUUGGGAUCCCUGUUUCCCCCUUUUAUUCCCUUUUCACCCAGUAAAACCCUGCUUUGCUCACUCUUUAAAGCAUCUGUGAGCGUAAAUUUUUGUGGCCAUGGGAUGGACAAGAACCACAUGUUUACCUGAAGUCCUGUGACAUUUUGGUGUGCAGCAUGGGAGCUCCAAAAGUGAGUCUCAUUGUGUUGCUCAGGCUGGAAUCCAGUGGCAUGAUCUCGGCUCAGUGCAACCUCCGCCUCCUGGGUUCAAGCAGUUCUCCUAGAUCAGCAUCAGCGUCCCGAGUAGCUGGGAUUACAGGCACCCGCCACCAUGCCUGGCUAAUGUUGGUCAGGCUGGCUCGAACUCCUGACCUCAAGAGAUCCACCUGCUUUGGCCUCCCAAAGUGCUCGGAUUACAGGCAUGAGCUGCCACACCCAGCCUCCAAAUACUUUUUUUUUAAAUCAAAAUAAUGAUUUCAAUGACUGAGAUCUGUUAUGUAUUUCAACAUAAUCAUGUUUCAUAAAGAUUUAGUCUUCUGAAA